AUUGAACGCUGGCGGCAGGCCUAACACAUGCAAGUCGAGUGGAUGAAGGGAGCUUGCUCCUGGAUUCAGCGGCGGACGGGUGAGUAAUGCCUAGGAAUCUGCCUGGUAGUGGGGGAUAACGUCCGGAAACGGGCGCUAAUACCGCAUACGUCCUGAGGGAGAAAGUGGGGGAUCUUCGGACCUCACGCUAUCAGAUGAGCCUAGGUCGGAUUAGCUAGUUGGUGGGGUAAAGGCCUACCAAGGCGACGAUCCGUAACUGGUCUGAGAGGAUGAUCAGUCACACUGGAACUGGGACCCGGUCCGGACUCCUACGGGGGGCAGGAGUGGGGAAUAUUGGACAAUGGGCGAAAGCCUGAUCCAGCCAUGCCGGGUGGGUGAAGAAGGUCUUCGGAUUGUAAAGCACUUUAAGUUGGGAGGAAGGGCAGUAAGUUAAUACCUUGCUGUUUUGACGUUACCAACAGAAUAAGCACCGGCUAACUUCGU
rnacentral:rRNA from 1 species